rnacentral:rRNA from 1 species
UACAGAGGGUGCGAGCGUUAAUCGGAAUUACUGGGCGUAAAGCGCACGUAGGCGGCUUGGUAUGUCGGGUGUGAAAUCCCCGGGCUCAACCUGGGAACUGCAUCCGAAACUGCCUCGCUAGAGUAUGGGAGAGGGAAGUGGAAUUUCCGGUGUAGCGGUGAAAUGCGUAGAUAUCGGAAGGAACAUCAGUGGCGAAGGCGACUUCCUGGACCAAUACUGACGCUCAGGUGCGAAAGCGUGGGGAGCAAACAGG